rnacentral:rRNA from 1 species
UACAGAGGGGCUAGCGUUGUUCGGAAUCACUGGGCGUAAAGGGCGCGUAGGCGGCCUGAUAAGUCGGGGGUGAAAGCCUGUGGCUCAACCACAGAAUUGCCUUCGAUACUGUUAGGCUUGAGACCGGAAGAGGUAAGUGGAACUGCGAGUGUAGAGGUGAAAUUCGUAGAUAUUCGCAAGAACACCAGUGGCGAAGGCGGCUUACUGGUCCGGUUCGUGACGCUGAGGCGCGAAAGCGUGGGGAGCAAACAGG